rnacentral:rRNA from 1 species
GAUGAACGCUAGCGGCAGGCCUAAUACAUGCAAGUCGAACGAUACCAAUGGGCUUGCUCAUUGGGAAAGUGGCGCACGGGUGCGUAACGCGUAUGCAACCUACCUUAAUCAGGGGGAUAGCCCGAAGAAAUUCGGAUUAACUCCGCAUAAAAACACAGUACAGCAUUGUACAAUGUUCAAAUAUUUAUAGGAUUAAGAUG